GUUGAUCAUGGCUCAGGAUGAACGCUGGCGGCGUGCCUAAUACAUGCAAGUCGAGCGUAACGGACGAGAAGCUUGCUUCUCUGAUGUUAGCGGCGGACGGGUGAGUAACACGUGGAUAACCUACCUAUAAGACUGGGAUAACUUCGGGAAACCGGAGCUAAUACCGGAUAAUAUUUUGAACCGCAUGGUUCAAAAGUAAAAGACGGUCUUGCUGUCACUUAUAGAUGGAUCCGCGCUGCAUUAGCUAGUUGGUAAGGUAACGGCUUACCAAGGCAACGAUGCAUAGCCGACCUGAGAGGGUGAUCGGCCACACUGGAACUGAGACACGGUCCAGACUCCUACGGGAGGCAGCAGUAGGGAAUCUUCCGCAAUGGGCGAAAGCCUGACGGAGCAACGCCGCGUGAGUGAUGAAGGUCUUCGGAUCGUAAAACUCUGUUAUUAGGGAAGAACAUAUGUGUAAGUAACUGUGCACAUCUUGACGGUACCUAAUCAGAAAGCCACGGCUAACUACGUG
rnacentral:rRNA from 1 species